GGUUAAGCGACUAAGCGUACACGGUGGAUGCCCUGGCAGUCAGAGGCGAUGAAGGACGUGCUAAUCUGCGAUAAGCGUCGGUGAGGUGAUAUGAACCGUUAUAACCGGCGAUUUCCGAAUGGGGAAACCCAGUGUGUUUCGACACACUAUCAUUAACUGAAUCCAUAGGUUAAUGAGGCGAACCGGGGGAACUGAAACAUCUAAGUACCCCGAGGAAAAGAAAUCAACCGAGAUUCCCCCAGUAGCGGCGAGCGAACGGGGAGGAGCCCAGAGCCUGAAUCAGUGUGUGUGUUAGUGGAAGCGUCUGGAAAGGCGUGCGAUACAGGGUGACAGCCCCGUACACAAAAAUGCACAUAUUGUGAGCUCGAUGAGUAGGGCGGGACACGUGGUAUCCUGUCUGAAUAUGGGGGGACCAUCCUCCAAGGCUAAAUACUCCUGACUGACCGAUAGUGAACCAGUACCGUGAGGGAAAGGCGAAAAGAACCCCGGCGAGGGGAGUGAAAAAGAACCUGAAACCGUGUACGUACAAGCAGUGGGAGCCUCUUAAUGGGGUGACUGCGUACCUUUUGUAUAAUGGGUCAGCGACUUAUAUUCUGUAGCAAGGUUAACCGAAUAGGGGAGCCGAAGGGAAACCGAGUCUUAACUGGGCGUUAAGUUGCAGGGUAUAGACCCGAAACCCGGUGAUCUAGCCAUGGGCAGGUUGAAGGUUGGGUAACACUAACUGGAGGACCGAACCGACUAAUGUUGAAAAAUUAGCGGAUGACUUGUGGCUGGGGGUGAAAGGCCAAUCAAACCGGGAGAUAGCUGGUUCUCCCCGAAAGCUAUUUAGGUAGCGCCUCGUGAAUUCAUCUCCGGGGGUAGAGCACUGUUUCGGCAAGGGGGUCAUCCCGACUUACCAACCCGAUGCAAACUGCGAAUACCGGAGAAUGUUAUCACGGGAGACACACGGCGGGUGCUAACGUCCGUCGUGAAGAGGGAAACAACCCAGACCGCCAGCUAAGGUCCCAAAGUCAUGGUUAAGUGGGAAACGAUGUGGGAAGGCCCAGACAGCCAGGAUGUUGGCUUAGAAGCAGCCAUCAUUUAAAGAAAGCGUAAUAGCUCACUGGUCGAGUCGGCCUGCGCGGAAGAUGUAACGGGGCUAAACCAUGCACCGAAGCUGCGGCAGCGACACUAUGUGUUGUUGGGUAGGGGAGCGUUCUGUAAGCCUGUGAAGGUGGCCUGUGAGGGUUGCUGGAGGUAUCAGAAGUGCGAAUGCUGACAUAAGUAACGAUAAAGCGGGUGAAAAGCCCGCUCGCCGGAAGACCAAGGGUUCCUGUCCAACGUUAAUCGGGGCAGGGUGAGUCGACCCCUAAGGCGAGGCCGAAAGGCGUAGUCGAUGGGAAACAGGUUAAUAUUCCUGUACUUGGUGUUACUGCGAAGGGGGGACGGAGAAGGCUAUGUUGGCCGGGCGACGGUUGUCCCGGUUUAAGCGUGUAGGCUGGUUUUCCAGGCAAA
rnacentral:rRNA from 1 species